AGCGUUGGUUUAAUGACAGACAGUUACUUUCACUAUUUUCUGUACAGUUUAUAAUGUAAGGCAGUUCAUGGCACGGAGUGCAGGGCAGCAUUAGACUAAAAAUAGUUUAAGUACGGUUAUCUGUGUAGAAAAAAACAAAACUUUGUUACUGUGGAAGUACUGAUCUGCCUCCGAGCUUUUCAGAUUGUUCAUCUCUUCACCGUCUAGUAUGCCCUUUAAAUGU